rfam:Triticum aestivum genome assembly, contig: Triticum_aestivum_CS42_TGACv1_scaffold_032714_1BL
CAACUACUCCCUCUGUCCAAAAUUUCUUGUCUUAGAUGUCUAGAUACAGAUGUAUCUAAUACUAAAAUGUGACUUGAUACAUCCAUAUCUAGACAAAUCUAAGACAAGAAUUUUGGGACGGAGGGAGUACUUU